CCUGAGUAGCUGGGACUACAGCAUGCGCCACCACACCCAGCUAAUUUUUGUAAUUUUAGUAGAGACAGGGUUUCACCAUGUUAGCCAGGAUGGUCUCCAUCUCUUGACCUCGUGAUCCGCCCGCCUCGGCCUCCCAAAGUGCUGGGAUUACAGGAGUGAGCCACUGUGCCUGGCCACUAUUAUCUAUCUUUUCUUUCCUAGUAGAUGUGAAAUAGUAUCUCUUUCAAUUACAUGUUAUUUCCUAAUGAGCCUGGUUAUUUUUUAUUGAAUGCAAACAUUGCACCUGCAAAUCAAGAAAUAAUUUUAAGAUUAUUAAUAGAAUGAUGUAAUCUUCUGUCAGAAAGGCACUAGAAAUCUCAGAUUACCUUAAUCUCAAGUCAGGGAUUGGGAUUAUUUGAAGUUGGGUUUAUUUUCUCUUAUGACUAAUCUAUUUAAGGUUCACCUUUCUUUCUAAGAUGUCCCUUUUGCUUCAAGAUCCUGACUCAAGAUGCCAGGAAGUUACCAUCUCCCAGAUCUUGGCCUUGUAGUUCUUCACUGCGCUAUAGUAUGUCAGUGUCUUCGAGUGAUUAAAAUUUUUUUUAUCCAACUUUUUUUUAGUUGUUCCCUGUGAGAAAGUUGAUCUGAAUUACCUAGUUCACUCUUAUUGGUAUAAAGUCUUAGGUGUUAACCUAUCUAGGUUAACUUAUCUUAGAUGUUAAUGAUCUAACGUUUAGGUGUUAACUUCUAGGUGUUAACUAUCUAGGAGAUAACUAUAGGUGUUAACUAGGUGUUAACUUAUCUUAAGUGUUAACAAUGUAGUCUUUAGGUGUUAACUUAUAAUUUCAAUCC
rnacentral:lncRNA from 1 species